UAAACGACUCUCGGCAACGGAUAUCUCGGCUCAUGCAUCGAUGAAGAACGUAGCAAAAUGCGAUACUUGGUGUGAAUUGCAGAAUCCCGUGAACCAUCGAGUUUUUGAACGCAAGUUGCGCCCAAGCCUUCUGGUUGAGGGCACGUCUGCCUGGGCGUCACGC
rnacentral:rRNA from 1 species